rnacentral:rRNA from 1 species
GAUUUCUGGUUAGAUGCAUCUGGCCCGCCACGGUUUCGUGUGUGAGUGCUGUGUUGUGUGUCUGCCAUCCUUCUAGUUCGGGCUAGGACGAUUCUUGAUUGAGUCGACUUAGCUAACGAUCUAGAUCUUUUACUUUGAAAAAAUUAGAGUGUUUCAAGCAGGCAUGUUGCUAUGAAUACAUUAGCAUGGAAUAAUAAGUUAGGACUUCGGUUCUAUUUUGUUGGUUUCUAGGACUGCAGUAAUGAUUGAUAGGGAUAGUUGGGGGUGCUAGUAUUCAGUGGCCAGAGGUGAAAUUCUCGGAUUCCCUGAAGACUAACUUAUGCGAAAGCAUU